AGUUAAGCUAUCUUUUCUUCGAAAAUUACCAAUGAAUUCAUAGUCUGAGGAAACGUGAAAGUCGAUACCGUCAGCGUCAGCUAUUUUGUUCAAACUCAUUGUAUUCUACUGAAUGUGUCAUCGAAAUUAUACAGGAUUCAUCUAAAUUAUCGGCUGUUUCUAUUGAACUUGCUAGAUCACCGACC